AUUAUCUUGGCAGAAUAGUGCUAUUGAUUUAGAAUCUUUGAAUGUAGUUUUACAGAUAAUU
rnacentral:tRNA from 1 species